rnacentral:rRNA from 1 species
AUUGAACGCUGGCGGCAGGCCUAACACAUGCAAGUCGAGCGGAUGAAGGGAGCUUGCUCCUGGAUUCAGCGGCGGACGGGUGAGUAAUGCCUAGGAAUCUGCCUGGUAGUGGGGGAUAACGUCCGGAAACGGGCGCUAAUACCGCAUACGUCCUGAGGGAGAAAGUGGGGGAUCUUCGGACCUCACGCUAUCAGAUGAGCCUAGGUCGGAUUAGCUAGUUGGUGGGGUAAAGGCCUACCAAGGCGACGAUCCGUAACUGGUCUGAGAGGAUGAUCAGUCAACCGGGAACUGAGACACGGUCAGGACUCCUACGGGAGGCGCCAGUGGGGAACUUUGGAAAUGGGGGGAAGGCUUACCGAGGCCAGGCCGCGGGUGGGAGGAAGGUCUUCGGAUGGUAAAGUACUUUGAGUUGGGAGAAAGGGUAGUAAGGUAAAACCUUGAUGUUUUGACGUUACCAACAGAGAAAGCAACGGCUAACUACGUG